rnacentral:rRNA from 1 species
UGAGAAUCUGCCUUCAGGUUCGGGACAACCACUGGAAACGGUGGCUAAUACCGGAUGUGCCUUACAGUAAAAGAUUUAUCGCCUGAAGAUGAGCUCGCGUCUGAUUAGCUAGUUGGUAAGGUAAAGGCUUACCAAGGCGACGAUCAGUAGCUGGUCUGAGAGGAUGACCAGCCACACUGGGACUGAGACACGGCCCAGACUCCUACGGGAGGCAGCAGUUAGAAUUC